rnacentral:RNase_P_RNA from 1 species
AAUCUCGGGUAAUUGCGGCUAACAUCGGUUAGCUGAGGAAAGUCCAUGCUCGCACAAGCUGCGAUGCUUGUAGUGUUCGUGCCCGGUGAAAAAUAAGCUGGGGCAUCUGAUUUCAGAUGACGGCAAGCCAACGAGCUAAAGCUUCGGCCAUGCUCUAGUAGCUUUGAAAAGUGCCACAGAGACGAUCUUAUUAAGAAAUUAAUAAGUUGGAACGCGGUAAACCCCUCGAGCGGGAAACCCAAACUAUGGUAGGGGAGCUUCACAUCGUGGAAAUGAACUAAGAUGUGGGGGCAGAUUUAAAAUCUGCAGAUAGAUGAUUACCCAAAUUUAAAUUUUUCCUGAGAAUUUAUUUUGGACAAAACAUGGCUUAUAGAG